UCUCUGGUAGUCCAGUGGCUAAGACCCUGUGCUCCCAAUGCAGGGGGCCCAGGUUCAAUCCCUGGUCAGGGAA
rnacentral:tRNA from 1 species